CUAUAGGAACUAGGGUUAAUAUGGGUUGGCUAUGGGAACCAGAGUUAAUAUAGGUCGCUAUAGGAACCAGGGUUAAUAUGGGUUGGCUAUGGGAACCAGGGUUAAUAUGGGUUUCUAUGGGAACCAGGGUUAAUAUGGGUUGGCUAUGGGAACCAGGGUUAAUAUGGGUUGCUAUAGGAACCAGGGUUAAUAUGUGUUGGCUAUGGGAACCAGAGUUAAUAUGGGUUUCUACACUCCAGUACAGUAGGUAUCAUAAAGUUGGUUGGACAGGUGUGAACACUCCAGUACAGUAGGUAUCAUAACGUUGGUUGGACAGGUGGGGACUCUCCAGUACAGUAGGUAUCAUAACGUUGGUUGGACAGGUGGGGACACUCCAGUACAGUAGGUAUCAUAACGUUGGUUGGACAGGUGGGGACACUCCAGUACAGUAGGUAUCAUAACGUUGGUUGGACAGGUGGGGACACUCCAGUACAGUAGGUAUCAUAACGUUGGUUGGACAGGUGGGGACACUCCAGUACAGUAGGUAUCAUAACGUUGGUUGGACAGGUGGGAAGUGGGGACACUCCAGUACAGUAGGUAUCAUAACGUUGGUUGGACAGGUGGGAAGUGGGGACACUCCAGUACAGUAGGUCGGAUGCCAAUAAACCCCACAGAAGAAGAGGCGAUGGAGACAACGGUUGACAGUGUCCUUCGCUCUUCCUGUUCAGGCACUGUUUUCCCUGCAGUUCUGUUAACAAGGGCAGGU
ensembl:lncRNA